GGAGGCACGUGGCGUGCGUUCUGGGCUUCCGUCCAGCCGUCUCUUUCGUCUUGCCUCUUUCUUUCUCCGUUCCCUUCCUUCCUCUGCCGAUCCCUCACUACUCGCGGCUGCUGCGCCGCCGGGUGCUGCCCCUGGUCUCGCCGCCCGUCUUGCUGUGCGCUGGUGCUGCCGCUGCUCCGAUCCUUUCCUUCCAUUAGUUGGUGUGCAUCACAGGUUGAGUGUCGAUUUGGCCGGCGUUGGGGGCCCUUCGCAGCGCGUCUCUUCGUUUGGUUCUACGUGAGGCUUUCUUUGCUCAGUCGCUGGUGUGUUUCUUCUCCUUUUCUUUUUCCUUUUUUAGAUCGGUUUGUCUCGCCGCCGUCUGGGGCUGCCGCGGUUUGUUCGUGCUUGUUGCGUCCACCGAUUGGAUGCAUUGUACGCACAUCUGGAGUUGUGUUUGCUGCAAUGGGUUGCGGCUGUGGUGGCUGCUGGGCUGUGGGGGUGGAGGGGAUUGGAUCUCUUUGAACGACGCCUGCAGCUACGUUGAACAGGCCCAGCCAUGUCGCGGGCAUGGAAGUGAAGAGUUGAGCGGCAAAGGGGAGGGAUGUCAAUGGCCUCCGGCAAACUGAGGAGUUUACUAGGGCCAACUGAUCCCAGGCGUCUCGAGCCUCUUAGGGUGGAAGACGGUCAACACAUCAUGAUUGGGGUUCCUUCUCCGUCAGGGUACUUACUAGCUUUUCCUGGGCCCUUCACUCUGAGUAAAAAGAAAAAUUCAAUGCUUCCAAUACCAUGCUGGUUUUAGCGUGAUUUGACGAGGUUCUGACAAACCUGAUACUGCAAGGAAGCAUAUAAUCCUGCUAGCGAUGCUCCUUGAAAGAGGAGCACUGGCAUGUUAUUUUUCUUCUCCUGAGUUGUCCUUAGAUCCAUUUCCUAUGAUUUGAUCCUGCAGUGAAGCAACCGAAGUUUUUUAUUUACUGCAAUUUCUCAUUAGGUUGUUAGUGUUCGUGGAGGCUUUGAAAUUCCUGGCAAUAAAAGCGUCGGAAGAAUUGAGAUUUUAAGGCAAUUUUGUGCAGUGGUAAUUUGUUUUGUAGUCUUGGCAACGAUGACUAUAAAAUGCAUCCUCGAAGCUAUUGCAGAAGGGGUUUAGGGUACAUACACUGUAUAAACUGUUAAGAUUACUUACUCACCUUAUUGGUAGCAGCAAACCAAGGAACCAGCUUUUCUUCCAUGCUUGAUACUCCCACUCCAUCUCCACAAAGGGCUCCUCAAUUGAUGUUAUUCCUCUACACCAUCAGCUCACAUUAGCAACAACAGUACUCCACCUUGUGUUGUUAUCUCUGCUCUCUCCUAUAAAUCCUGUCUUUGCCAAAUUCCAAGUUCCCAAGUGAAAUAGAUUUCAAAACCUUAGUAUACUUCACCUUCCAUGUUUUAUUGAAGUGCAGAUGAUAUUUCGUUACAGGUGAUAGUGUUCUCUUCUGAUUCUCUCAUGUGUCUCUUUUGUGUGAAGGGGGUCUCGUUCCUCUCAAGAUGAGAUCACGAGAUUAAGUAUCAACAAUUCUUUUCUCAUGGUACUGACGUAAGUUUCAUUCACUCAAUUAUGACCCAUAUAAAAACUAACCUCCUGCUAAGCAACCCCUCAUACACUAGAUGGAUUCAUUUUCUACUUAAACGAAUUACCAUAUUACUAUUUUAAAGGUUACUUCUGUGAUGACACUGUUUUUUUGGAAACAUUGACCGCCGAAGAUUAAUUUGUGUAGCAUUUGAGAUGUUGCCAAUUAAAAGUAAUGGUUGCGUGUUGAAUGCGUGGGCAGCUUUUUAUUUACUCAAUAUAAUUCUUUUAUGCUUACAUAGUCAUUCAUCUUGUGUUUAUUCUAGAUUUUGAAUUUUUAAGUAAUUAGAAUUUUCUGAUUUCCUUGCAUCUCUUAGGGAACAUGCAGAGGGAAACUAGGACAGGUAAAAUAUAUUAUAAGAAAAUACUUACAUUUCUAAUGUCUUGGAUAAGAUUGUUUAUAUAAUCUUCUGUGCUCUUUUCCUUUUUAUCUGAUCAUUCCAUGAACAGGAACAAUCAAUUAUUACUUUUAUGAUGGCAUGAUGAUCCAAAAUAGUGUGUUUUUUACUCUUCUUACGACUUAUACUCCAUAUCGCAUAAGUUUUCCUAUUUUGUUUAGAUAUUGUUGUUUCAGGUUCAGGAGUAGUGUCUCCCUUCAGUGGUAAUGGAUUAAGGCCCGUUUUCAGAGUACAUUACUGUCAUCGACCCUGGACCCAAGAGGCGCGACGGCGCCAUUAAAGGCAGCCGCACCUCAAGGGCAGGAAGGAGGUAUAACUAGAUUGAUUUAUUCUUACUUGUCUCAUGACGAUCACAGGGAGCCCUUUAUAUAGGGAAGACUCAACUUGACAUCCAAGAAACUAAUCUCUACUUUCCUAACAAACCAUAUCUUAAUAUUCCCAUCUUAUCUCGUGCCUAACUAAUAUAUGAGAUGCUAAUUGGAUAUUGUCCCUUAUUUGGAUACCUAGGGCUGUGCCCCUAUAGGGAUGUACGCCCAUGACAAUUACACGCUUCUGGUCCUAUGCAGUACAAGAAAGGAAUCAUAAGUACUGUAUUAUCUAAUGAACCAUAUGGCAGCAUAAUGUAUGUUUAAGUAUGAACUGGUCAUAGUUGUUAGGUGGUGGAGUGGGUGCUUGGAGCAACAAAGAUGCACAUUGAGAUUAGUUCCGACGGUUUUCCUUUGCUUUCAUUCCGCAAAUGGUUGUGAUCCUGCUUAUGAAUUCUCUGCUCUUGGUUUCAGUUUUAGGUCCUACUUCAUCUGAUCUUCAAGUUGGUUUCGCUUUUGCAUAUCCUCUCUUCUUUGUUCUCUACUCCGGUAGAAUGCCACUAUAAGUCUACUUGAGAAUCUCGAAACUGUCAGUUUGUACUCUGUCCCGUGUUCGAUAACAGUUACUGUAUUUCUGAUUAGGGUGUGAGCCACCUCUCUUAAUAAGAAGGCAUACCUUAGGUGCCAAUCUAAAAUCGCUCGAA